rnacentral:rRNA from 1 species
AUUGAACGCUGGCGGCAGGCUUAACACAUGCAAGUCGAGCGGGGGAGAUUGCUUCGGUAAUUGACCUAGCGGCGGACGGGUGAGUAAUACUUAGGAAUCUGCCUAUUAAUGGGGGACAACAUCUCGAAAGGGAUGCUAAUACCGCAUACGCCCUACGAGGGAAAGCAGGGGAUCACUUGUGACCUUGCGUUAAUAGAUGAGCCUAAGUCGGAUUAGCUAGUUGGUGGGGUAAAGGCCUACCAAGGCGACGAUCUGUAGCGGGUCUGAGAGGAUGAUCCGCCACACUGGGACUGAGACACGGCCCAGACUCCUACGGGAGGCAGCAGUGGGGAAUAUUGGACAAUGGGGGGAACCCUGAUCCAGCCAUGCCGCGUGUGUGAAGAAGGCCUUAUGGUUGUAAAGCACUUUAAGCGAGGAGGAGGCUCUUUUGGUUAAUACCCAAGAUGAGUGGACGUUACUCGCAGAAUAAGCACCGGCUAACUCUGUGCCAGCCGCCGCGGUAAAAC